rnacentral:rRNA from 1 species
GCGGGGGAUAACUAUUGGAAACGAUAGCUAAUACCGCAUGAUAUAAUUGUCGCAUGAUAAUUAAUUGAAAGAUGCACUUGCAUCACUACCAGAUGGACCUGCGUUGUAUUAGCUAGUUGGUGAGGUAACGGCUCACCAAGGCGACGAUACAUAGCCGACCUGAGAGGGUGAUCGGCCACACUGGGACUGAGACACGGCCCAGACUCCUACGGGAGGCAGCAGUAGGGAAUCUUCGGCAAUGGGGGGAACCCUGACCGAGCAACGCCGCGUGAGUGAAGAAGGUUUUCGGAUCGUAAAGCUCUGUUGUAAGAGAAGA